GUGCUCACUUCAACAGUACAUGUACUAAGACUGGAAUGAUACGGAGAAGGUUAGCACGGUCCCCGUAAAAGGAUGACACAAAUGUGUGAAGGGCUCUGUAAGAAAAA